rnacentral:lncRNA from 1 species
AAAGAUGCAUGCAUGCUUUCAAUGCAAAUUAAUUCACAUAAUCAAUCUUUUUCCAACAGAUGUUUCAUUCAUGAAUGAUCAAUCAACUAAACAUAGAUGUAAAUAUGUAUUUAACAGUUCUCACCAAGCAAGUGUUUCACUUAAUCACUCAAAUGUUUAGGAGGUCACUCUACUCUCUACUGUUCACAUGUCACAUAAAACAAUAUUGUCAUUCAUCUAAAACAAUCAACAUCUUCACAUGCACAUGUCAUCACAAGGACUUUUUCCAAGGCUUGUAUUGUGGAUGGGCUAUCAAAAAAAAUUGGUUUUUCUAGAAUACAAAAUCCUUGAGUUAAGAGAGUUUAAAUCAUCAUUCAUAGUUCAAGUAUACUCUCUUUUUAACCAAUCUCACUCAUUCCCAACUUUUUCCCUUUCUCCUUUUUACAGUGAGUUCUCUUUACAUGCUUUUUCUCUUUUCUUCUUUUCUUUUCCUUUCACAUUGAUGAGUGGUUAUUUCUUGAACUAUAUUUAGUUUAUUGCACUUAAAUAAACCAGGGAAUUGUGUUUAAUUGUCUGUUAUUUCCCCGUUUUCCGAAUUCUGCUUAAUUUGGUCAGCAAUUUGUAAUUGUGCUAAUUUGGGUUUUCUGAGCUGAUUAAGUGUAUUUUGGUUGCAAUGAAAUUUUGGGAAACAUCAAUUUAAGCAUUAGUGAUGGUAGUAUAAUUAUUCAAGACUCAACAUUUAGCCAUUUUCAUUUUUAUAAAGUUGUAUUUUCGUUUUUUUAGAAACCUUAAUUAGAUUAAGUGCAUUUGGGCCCUUUUGUGGCAAAUUUUGUAGAAGCCCAAUGUGUGGGACACUUUGCACCAAAACCCUAGGUUUUUAGGAGGUGGACCCCACCUAUUUUGUGAGUUGGAAGGUAUUUUCCUAGGGAAUUGCCGAGACCACAAAAGCACACUUCAUUCUACACUUUUGUUUUGGCUUUUGCAUGUAUUACUCUCUCUUGGGAGCCCUUGGUGUGCUAUUUUCGUUUCUUCACUAUGNAUGAGCAAGAUCACGUCUUUCUUCUUCUAUUAUGUGCAACAAUGCUUGUUCUUGCUUGAUGNN